rnacentral:rRNA from 1 species
CCUAGGGGCGGCUGCAGUGGGGAAUAUUGGACAAUGGGCGAAAGCCUGAUCCAGCCAUGCCGCGUGUGUGAAGAAGGCCUUCGGGUUGUAAAGCACUUUCAGUGGGGAAGAAAGCCUUGGGGCUAAUACCCUCGAGGAAGGACAUCACCCACAGAAGAAGCACCGGCUGAACUCCGUGCCAGCAGCCGCGGUAAUACGGAGGGUGCGAGCGUUAAUCGGAAUUACUGGGCGUAAAGCGCGCGUAGGCGGUCUGAUAAGCCGGUUGUGAAAGCCCCGGGCUCAACCUGGGAACGGCAUCCGGAACUGUCAGGCUAGAGUGCAGGAGAGGAAGGUAGAAUUCCCGGUGUAGCGGUGAAAUGCGUAGAGAUCGGGAGGAAUACCAGUGGCGAAGGCGGCCUUCUGGACUGACACUGACGCUGAGGUGCGAAAGCGUGGGUAGCAAACAGGAUUAGAUACCCCGGUAGUC